CUCGCCUUCUUCUCCCAAUCCUACAUUGACGCCAACACAUUAAAACCGGAAGACCUCGCCAAGCUACUUAAAAGUAUUGCGGCUUCCCCUCGAGAGUACGGCCGUUACCACCUAUGGAGACUUUAUUGGAAAGUAGUACAAAUGUGGCCUCACUGUGAACUAUGCUACAAGUUACACAACGACCAUAAUGUUACCAUUUACUCAAACGUGUAUAGCUGGUGGGGCGCCGUUGGGAAAUGCAGGAGAUCUACAAUUAUCUAAUUAUCUUCCUCUCUCUUCAAAAUAAAUAAUUGCCGGCAGGAAA